rnacentral:rRNA from 1 species
UACGUAGGGGGCAAGCGUUGUCCGGAUUUACUGGGCGUAAAGAGUUCGUAGGCGGUUUGUCGCGUCGUUCGUGAAAACUUGGGGCUUAACUCCAAGCGUGCGGGCGAUACGGGCAGACUUGAGUACUACAGGGGAGACUGGAAUUCCUGGUGUAGCGGUGAAAUGCGCAGAUAUCAGGAGGAACACCGGUGGCGAAGGCGGGUCUCUGGGUAGUAACUGACGCUGAGGAACGAAAGCGUGGGUAGCGAACAGG